UAGCUGUUGAGCCCCGUUCAGAAGUGAA
rnacentral:piRNA from 1 species